rnacentral:rRNA from 1 species
GGCAUGCGAAAGCUAUACAUGCAAGUCGAACGAACUCUGGUAUUGAUUGGUGCUUGCAUCAUGAUUUACAUUUGAGUGAGUGGCGAACUGGUGAGUAACACGUGGGAAACCUGCCCAGAAGCGGGGGAUAACACCUGGAAACAGAUGCUAAUACCGCAUAACAACUUGGACCGCAUGGUCCGAGUUUGAAAGAUGGCUUCGGCUAUCACUUUUGGAUGGUCCCGCGGCGUAUUAGCUAGAUGGUGGGGUAACGGCUCACCAUGGCAAUGAUACGUAGCCGACCUGAGAGGGUAAUCGGCCACAUUGGGACUGAGACACGGCCCAAACUCCUACGGGAGGCAGCAGUAGGGAAUCUUCCACAAUGGACGAAAGUCUGAUGGAGCAACGCCGCGUGAGUGAAGAAGGGUUUCGGCUCGUAAAACUCUGUUGUUAAAGAAGAACAUAUCUGAGAGUAACUGUUCAGGUAUUGACGGUAUUUAACCAGAAAGCCACGGCUAACUACGUGCCAGCAGCCGCGGUAAUACGUAGGUGGCAAGCGUUGUCCGGAUUUAUUGGGCGUAAAGCGAGCGCAGGCGGUUUUUUAAGUCUGAUGUGAAAGCCUUCGGCUCAACCGAAGAAGUGCAUCGGAAACUGGGAAACUUGAGUGCAGAAGAGGACAGUGGAACUCCAUGUGUAGCGGUGAAAUGCGUAGAUAUAUGGAAGAACACCAGUGGCGAAGGCGGCUGUCUGGUCUGUAACUGACGCUGAGGCUCGAAAGUAUGGGUAGCAAACAGGAUUAGAUACCCUGGUAGUCCAUACCGUAAACGAUGAAUGCUAAGUGUUGGAGGGUUUCCGCCCUUCAGUGCUGCAGCUAACGCAUUAAGCAUUCCGCCUGGGGAGUACGGCCGCAAGGCUGAAACUCAAAGGAAUUGACGGGGCCCGCACAAGCGGUGGAGCAUGUGGUUUAAUUCGAAGCUACGCGAAGAACCUUACCAGGUCUUGACAUACUAUGCAAAUCUAGAGAUAGACGUUCCCUUCGGGACAUGAUACAGUGUGCAUGAUGUCGUCAGCUCGUGUCGUGAGAUGUGGUAGUCCCGCACCGAGCGCACCUUAUUAUCAGUGCCAGCAUUAGUUGGUCACUCUGGUGAGACUGCAGUGACAACGGAGAAAGGUGGUAUGACUCAUCAUCAUGGCCUUAGGACCCUGGCCUCUACACAACGUGCUUGA